GCCCGAAAGGGUGACGAAGCGACGCCGCGUGAGUGAGGAAGGCCUUCGGGUUGUAAAGCUCUGUCAGGAGUUAAGAAAUGUAAGUGUGCUAAUACCACAUUUAUUUGACGAAGGCUCCAAAGGAAGCCACGGCUAACUCUGUGCCAGCAGCCGCGGUAAUACAGAGGUGGCAAGCGUUGUUCGGAAUUAUUGGGCGUAAAGAGCACGUAGGUGGGUUUGUAAGUCAGAUGUGAAAGCCUUCUGUUCAACGGAAGAAUUGCAUCUGAAACUGCGAGUCUUGAGUGUAGGAGGGGAGAAUGGAACUUCUGGUGGAGCGGUGAAAUGCGUAGAUAUCAGAAGGAACGCCGGCGGCGAAAGCGAUUCUCUGGCCUAUUACUGACGCUCAGUGUGCGAAAGCUAGGGGAGCAAACGGGAUUAGAUACCCCGGUAGUCCUAGCCGUAAACGAUGGGCACUAAGUAGAGGGAAUUACCGAUGUUCUCUCUGCCGUAGCUAACGCAUUAAGUGCCCCGCCUGGGGAGUACGGCCGCAAGGCUAAAACUCAAAAGAAUUGACGGGGGCUCGCACAAGCGGUGGAGCAUGUGGCUUAAUUCGAUGCAACGCGAAGAACCUUACCGGGGCUUGACAUGGUAGAAGUAGGAACCCGAAAGGGUAACGAACGGUAUCCAGUCCGUAACUAUCACAGGUGUUGCAUGGCUGUCGUCAGCUCGUGUCGUGAGACGUUGGGUUAAGUCCCCUAACGAGCGAAACCCUUGUUUUUAGUUACCAGCGGGUUGUGCCGGGUACUCUAGAAAGACUGCCGUCGUCAAGACGGAGGAAGGUGGGGAUGACGUCAAGUCAUCAUGGCCCUUAUGCCCCGGGCUGCACACGUGCUACAAUGGUCGGUACAAACGGAAGCGAAGCC
rnacentral:rRNA from 1 species